GGGGAAAGAAAAAGUAAAGGACUAAAUUGUAAAGUUUGGUCACAUUUUGUAUCGAGUACUUAUCUAGUCACUCGGGGAUCGAAGGAAAUGUCGGAGGCCGAUCACACUAUCAAAGAAAUAACUCGGUAUAAUUAGACGUUUUGUUUUGUGUAUGGCAUGUAUAGAAACUUAGCCACUUUUGGUAUAAUAUGAACAAUGAAUGAUGUGUAAAUACUUGCUAGUGAUUAGCUAAUAAAAUGGCCGAUGAUAUGCAUGUUUAUUAAUAUGUA